GGUUAGUGUUGUCAUGGUCUGCUAGAUUGCCUCUUGUCAAUUCUGGUGAUGUGCAGUAUGUGCCCACUGCUUCUGAAGAACAUCCAGAAACUGCAUGCUUUGGAUAUUGUCAAGAAA
rnacentral:lncRNA from 1 species